UGCGGAGCGGGAGCAGUCAGCCAGGGGUUGCCCUGGGGCGAGCAGGACACAAUGUAACGGCCCUUUGUUGGAGCGGAGUUGCUCCGAGGCAAGGAAGCUCCUGGAGAAGCAGCAAAACGCCGUGAGGAGAGGGGCGAGGAUAAGUUCCUUGGUUACUUGGUCUUGUAUCUCGGAGAGGAGAAGUGGUGAACAAAGUCCACACCUGUACUGGCCUUCCUUUCCUUCCUGUUUCCUCUCUCUGAUGUCAAGCAUUCUGCUUGGUUUAAAAUCCACUUUCUCCUACAAAAGCAUUAGUGCAAAUAAAACAGAACUGAGUUUUAUAAGUGUAUAAGAGAGUCUAGCAAUCUAGCAAAAUACAAUCUCACCUAUAGUGUGAAUAUUUCGAAAGAACAAAACAGUUCAGAACUAUCCUCGCUGGACUGCUAUCCAAUAUUAGAUUCAGUAGGCGUAGCAGAAACUAAUCUGUUCUGCCCUGAAAGAGCUAAUAUGUAGAAGAGUUGAUGUAGAAUAAAUAUAUUGUACUUUCUAAGAAGAAAAAGACAGGUUGUAGGUAUCAUUUGAAAUAAGUCACCUUUUUAUGCAUCUUAAUUCCCUCUGGUAAGACAGAUAUGCACCAAAUCUACCUUGUACAGCAUAAGCAGGAAAGGAACUCUCUCUAAUUAUAUACUCACCAAGAGGGAAAAAUAAAGACUUGGUUCAGCCCCCCUACAUCUUCACAUCUACUGUUAGUCACAUAAUUUCAAUUGUCUUUGUGUUUAGAUCAAGAAAGUUGGUGGGUACGGGGAAUUAAUAAUGGAAUGUGAAGGAAUCUUGAGGCCUAUCACUGCAGUGAAAGUCCUCGUAGGAAGGUCUUGAGCUGUGUUAGCCAGCUAGAAUUCAUAUUUGGCAAUUUAUUUUCUGCUUUGGGCAGGCUUGAUUCCCAGACUAUGUUGCGACUGCUGAAUUAAACAUGGCUGCAAGACAAUUCCGUGCCGAGGCCAGCUGGCACUGUAACAGCCCAUGGUGUCCAUACUGUUAAACUCUCUUGGCAUCUCAAAUAAGGGGACUACAUGCAAACUCCUGUUUGAAUAGCCUCUGGCCCAUGUUAACUUCCAGAUCAGCUCUGGAAUUUUUUGGAGAGAGAUAAUUGGCCUGGGCCAGGAAUCAAGCUAAUCUGUAUUCUUGGAGCUCCAAGGUCCAGGAAUGUUUCCUCAGGCACUGUUAAUUACUGGCAGAUACAUAGCCUAUAGACUGUAACAAUCCUGUUAUUCACUCACGUAGGUGGCUACUGAUCCAGUCAUCGUUUGGGUUGUGUCUGGGAGAACGUGUUAGCACUAAAUGUAGGGGAAAAUGUCUCUGACAGUAAAUUAGACUUUAUCACAGACAAUGCAAACAGAAGGCUUCAAAAUAAAUGUGUCUCUCUGUGCUUUUGUAUAUUCCCUACUUCCACAGCUUCUGACUACUUUCUAUGCUGUGCUUGAACACAAAAGCAGAGCAGAGAUAGAAGAACGCUAGUUAGUCAUGAAACCAUAACUGCAGCACCCAGAGCAAUCAUUUGAGAGAGAUCUCAAGGACCACUCAGGUUCAAUCAAUGCAAAAGAAAAAGCACAGUAAAGAUCACUUUGUUCAAAAAUAGGUUUACAAAGAUUUAAAUUCUUUGUAGAAUGAUGGGAAGAGAGAUCAAAGAUGCAUGCAAAGCUAAAACAAUAAAUAAUCUGGCUUUGUACACCAAGACAGCUUUGGAAACUUGUUCUCAUUUCGUUGACAGUAAAAUAUAUUUUCUCCAGAAAUACCAGCAUUUACACGGUCACUGCUUGCAUUGUUUUUCUGUAUUUUAUUUCUUCCUCAAGAGUUUAUCAUUAAGUAGUAACGCCCAAAUUGUUACCCCUCUUUUUAACAAACUAGUGAUUUUUAAAGAAGCAGUGAAAAGUGGAUUAUAAAAAAAAUGAGAUCCGAGUCACAUGGUUCUUUGCAAAACUUUGAGGGACAAAAAACAUACAGAAAAUGAAAGCAAUAUGUUUUGGUAUUCAUUUUGCAGUGCCUCCUUUCUUAUUCCACCCUGUGUUUGUAGAGAAAGAUACACUGAACUUUGCAAGAAGAGUAUUUUCAAAUUUUGUUCUAAGAAAUGUGCUUCUCUUGAUAAAGACUUUUCAAAGAAAGUUAAUGCACUCAUAUUUCUGGAUAUUAUUCCACAAGUUCCUGUUCUCGUUUACAAUUUGAAGCCUGGGGGAAAAAAGUGAAAAUAAACAAAAAAGUUCCUAAUUUUAA